rnacentral:rRNA from 1 species
AUUGAACGCUGGCGGAACGCUUUACACAUGCAAGUCGAACGGUAACGCGGAGAGAAGCUUGCUUCUCUCCGGCGACGAGUGGCGAACGGGUGAGUAAUACAUCGGAACGUGUCCGCUCGUGGGGGACAACCAGCCGAAAGGUUGGCUAAUACCGCAUGAGUUCUACGGAAGAAAGAGGGGGACCCGCAAGGGCCUCUCGCGAGCGGAGCGGCCGAUGACUGAUUAGCCGGUUGGUGAGGUAACGGCUCACCAAAGCAACGAUCAGUAGCUGGUCUGAGAGGACGACCAGCCACACUGGGACUGAGACACGGCCCAGACUCCUACGGGAGGCAGCAGUGGGGAAUUUUGGACAAUGGGCGCAAGCCUGAUCCAGCUAUUCCGCGUGUGGGAUGAAGGCCCUCGGGUUGUAAACCACUUUUGUAGAGAACGAAAAGACACCUUUUAAAAAAGGGUGUUGCUGACGGUACUCUAAGAAUAAGCACCGGCUAACUACGUGCCAGCAGCCGCGGUAAUACGUAGGGUGCGAGCGUUAAUCGGAAUUACUGGGCGUAAAGGGUGCGCAGGCGGUUGAGUAAGACAGAUGUGAAAUCCCCGAGCUUAACUCGGGAAUGGCAUAUGUGACUGCUCGACUAGAGUGUGUCAGAGGGAGGUGGAAUUCCACGUGUAGCAGUGAAAUGCGUAGAUAUGUGGAAGAACACCGAUGGCGAAGGCAGCCUCCUGGGACAUAACUGACGCUC